UCUAAACAACUAGCUGUGAGGUUUG
rnacentral:piRNA from 1 species